GCGUAAUUGGUUUAGUGGUAAAAUUCUCCGUUGCCAUCAAGUUCCCGCCGGAACACGAAGCUCGGGGAGCCCUGGGUUCGAUUCCCAGAUUACGCA
rfam:Fusarium graminearum chromosome 3, complete genome